UUUUUUUUUCUAUUUACAUUGUGCUCCGUGGAGACAGCAAAGCUUUACCCGGGCUCGCUUGAAUAAUGAGCCACUAAACAGAGAGCUGCGUAUCACUCAACAAACAGCUCCUCGCAGAAUUCGUGUUAAUUAUGCCAUUCCUUCUGAUUAGAUUCAGCUGAUUUCUCACUCGCAAGGCUCGGUGCGAGGCUCAGCGGUGCCUGGUGGGAACAGCAGUGACACAUCCAUGUGGCACCGUCAUUAGAUAGCCUGAGAACUUCCCAUGGCCAUUCCCUGCAAACCGACCCCGCUGCCACGCAGGGAAGGGCUGAGCUCCUGGAAAAGCUGUGCCUGAUCUGCAGGGCAGAUUGGCAGCAGAGAAUGGCCAGAAGGGGAGAUCUCCUUCCCAGAGAUGUGCACGACCCCCCAGAGCUGGGGAACGGGUGUGAAACUUUAUUCUCCUUACAGAUUUGAUGAUGUGAACAUUGGCAAUUAGAGCUUUCUCGGCUUUUUGUUUUUCACUUUUUGGCUGCAACUGGGCAGGUGACAGAUUCCAUGCGGCUGAACGGCCACAAUCCUGCAGGAAGAGAAAUAUUUCUAAAGACAUCAAUUGGAUUUGGAUUGACCUUUGGCCUUCACGACCUGCUGCAAGAGCACCUCAUACAAGAAAUCUGAGCCAGCCAAGCCCAAAGGUCCCCCUUGUCCUACACCAAACAACAAAUCCACCAGCCUGCAAUGAGGACCUGAAUUUAUUGAGAAGAAUAUCAGCCUCCAUAGUAUUUGCCUGGUAUUAUAGACCUGCAUGCCAAGCCAGAACCAAACUGCAAACAAGAAUGUCUGGAAUAUCAAGAGUAAUGAUGUACAAAGUCCCUUCUGGCCCCAGCUUCUAUUGAAAAAUAAUUGGAUGAAUUGGUGAUGCUUACAUUUCAUCUGGCCUGCCACUCUGUGAGUUUGUUUAUUUUUUAACAGACCCUCCCAUAAUGAAGUAUCCCGUGGUGACAGCACAUCAGCCAGCAAGUGCACCCCUCAAGGGAUGUGAGGCACCAAGCUUUGCCUGUUCAUGCCUAAGGUGUGCAUGCAAGACUGACAGACACAGCCUGGUAUGUGCUUUCUCAGGGAAGUCUGGAAAGGUGGGGGCUUGACUUCACCCUGGCAGUGUGGUAACUACAAAAAGGGAAGUGGGAGGGCUGGAAAGGAUCAGUCUUGUUUAGAGUGGAGUCUUCUCAGACAGCCCCAUGACUUCAUAUGAAGUUGUCACACGCCAAGUCAUUAUUUUGGACACGGCCCAGGCAAAGUGGUGGUCUGAGCUCUAGACACUACUGUUACACACACAAAUGGGUAAGAACUUUCCUCUCUACCCAAAUAAAUGAAUACAUAAACCCAACACACACAUGCACAAACUGUUAGCCCAAUGAUUCAGACUGGGUAAUUCAGGGAUUAACUAGAAGGAUCUCUGGUCAUUUUAUGGUGCUCUUCAUCAUGCACACAAAUUCAAAUUAUUUUCCUGUUCUGGUAACUUCUAACAUAGAGGAGAACCCACACUCCAAAUGUGACUUCAAAUGCAAUUAGAAUCAUAAAAUAUCAGGUUGCAAAGGACCUCAAGGAUCUCUGGUCUAACCUCUCUGGGUAAAAGCACAGUCUAGACAAGAUAGCCCAACAGCCUCCCCAGCUGCAUCUUGAAAGUGUCCAAUUUACCACUACUCUGGGCAGGUCAUUCCAAUGUCUGAUUGCUCACAUUGUAAAAAAUUGUCUCUUGUUUGUAAUCAAAAUGUCUCCAGGAAUAACUUCUACCCAUUAGCCCUUGUCUCUUCCAUGUGGAAAAUGGAGUUCUCAUCCUCUCUGUAGCCAUCCCUUAAAUACUGGAACAAAAUACUUAAUGGCUGCUGCCUUUCAGUAAUGCACUGCAUUCUGACUAAUUGAGAUUCUUCUGUCCUUUCUUCAUAAAGCAACUCUUGUUUCCUUCACUUAGUUGAAAAAAAUGUUUCCUGUUAAAGGCUCUUUCCCAGCAAGUUGCCUAUGGACACUUUCCAGAUAAUAAUCUGGGAAGUAUCUUGGGAUUUCCUCAAAUCUCAUGACUAGAUGGAUUUCAGCAAUGGUCUGAGGGAUUGGGGAUGAUCUUUUCCUCGGGAAGAGACAAGACUUUUAUCAAAACAGGGUAACUGCAAGGACUGACCAGUUUGGUGCUGAGGAGCUCCCAGAGGAGGAGACAGUCCCACUGUUAGAAGACAGGGUGUAGAAGGAUGUGUAAAGGCAGCAGCCAGGUGGUUUAUAUUCUUGUUUAUUCUAUAUGGGAGCUGUAAAGAAAUGGGAUAGUGUGUCUUGGCACAGAAUGAAUAAGGAAGCUGAAAAUGUGAUUUUGGGGUGGGGAAGAGCUCUCAACAAUGAGGUUGUAAAAACAACUCCCAUAAAAUAUAUCUUGGUCAAGUUCAGUUCUGCUUUUUGUGAAAUUAGAGAGAGCUGAUCUUACAAAAACAAGUGCUUGUUGAGGUUGCUGUUGUAUGGAAUUGGCGUGUGCUGUUUUUCUAGCAGGCUCUCUUCACUGUCAUCAGAGUGCAAUUUCUCUAGAGUCGCUGUGGGAUGCAACAGAUUUCUUGGAAAAGAAGGCUGUGUUGACACCCACAGGCUAGUAAUGUUUUCACAAGAAGGAACAUGACUUUACAUUCGACUCUCUUGAAAAGAGAUUAGCAACACUGUGAUUUAUAAGAAUUGCCAGGAUUUGAGGUUGCUUUUUCUCCCCUCUCUCUGAAUCUAAGCUCCAGCAGGUAGGUGUUAAGUGAGUGAAGCAUUUCUGGCAAGAUUUAUGUGCCCAUACAGUAGAAUGGGAGUGAAAUCUGACAGUCUAAAGGAGGGGGAGCAACUGACAAAUAGAGGGGGUGGAAAGGGCAGAUUGGCUUGGAUUUUUUCUUUCCUUUUCCUUUGCAGUCAAAACCCUUUGAGACUCUUCACUCCUAAGCUGAAAAUUUCCUUUGCACAGACAUUUCCCUCCCUUGUCCUUUUGUUCUAGCAGUAAAUAUGGGUCCACAGCGUGUACAUGGAAAGCAGGCACAGCCAAGGCUAAGUCUCCCUGAAAUAAUGCCUUUCCUAGAAACAGAUGACAAACAUUUUCCCCAGAAAUGAGAUAUCUCCUAUGAUGAAGUUCUCUUAGCAGAAAGAAGCCCUUUCUCACCAUGGAGCCUUGCAGUUAAGUAAACAGUACUAAAAGACAGUGUGUCCUCAUACAGGAGGGUGUUCCAGCCUGAAUAGCAACAAAAGCCUUUGCUUUUCAGAAAGAUCACCACCAUCCAGUUUGGGUGUGUGGAUCACAUGGGUGCUGAACAGCACAUGAUUGCUUUUGCAGGACCAUGGUGCUCAGCAUGUAGAUUUUCUUGGCUGUUAGAUGGGGAGCAAUCCAGAGGUGCAAGAUAGUUGAUAUAGUUUGUAAAAUCCCCAGAAGCUCAACACUUGAUGAAUAACAGAUUACAAAAACCAAAAUGAGAGGGAAUAGUUCCAUUAGCUUCACGAUUCCUACUGAGCCAUCCCAUAGGAACACAAAACAGGGAAAUGUUCAGAUGAUAAUGGCAUCCUUCUGGCUGCAAAAAGGAGCAUUUUCAAGGACUAAACUACUGAAUAUAUAUUUAAAGAUCAAAACUUAAUCUCAAGUUUAUUUCUGAAACUGCAUCUGAAAGACAUAUCCUGAGCUAUGGGUGAAAGUAGAGGGAGAAAAAAAGAACACUUGAUAACUGAGUCUUGCUUUUACAGCCCAUUGAAAAACAGACACACAGAUAAGGGACAAUCUAACAUCUGAACAAAAUCCAAAUGUGAAGUUAUGCCUAGGUCCUAAGAAAUUUGGAGUGUCCAUCAACCAUAGAAACCCAUCACCUCAUUCAUCAGAAAUUUAAUAAAUAUAAAGGACUUCAGAGGAAACACUUUGACUCAAGUGGUGCCUUUUCUGAUGAAGGUACAUCCCAAAGAAAUUUGCCACCAGUCCCAAAAAAAACCCACUGCUACAGCCUGUGUGUUUGUGAGGUGACUGGAGUGACCUCCUGCUUGGGACUACCUCUGUGAAAAACAGUGAGUACAAUUCAUCUGGAAUCUUCUGUAUUUCUUCUCUUCUGUGACAGCCUUUAAGGUUUUGAAAACAUCCUGCUCCUCAGUGAGAACAACUUGAGAUUUUUUGAAGCUUCACUGGAAAAUGAGAAAGACUAAAAAAAAAUUGUGGUUUUCCUGAGCUGCCAGUCACCUAAGGAUUAAACACUGAUGUGAAAUGGAGAAGAUAUCAGGAUCAAGUUCUGAUAACACUGACUGGUCACUCAAUAAAACACCAUGAACUUGCUCCAUCCUAAGAGAUGAUUGCUGUUGUGGCACUGUGGAGGAUAGAGUGGCCAGUUUCAGAUCCCUGUGUAGCCAAAAAGCUCAGUUUUGCUAUGUCAGUGACCUAACCACUGGUGUCUUGGCUAAGCUGAGCUGUUCUCCUUCUUUGGAUGCAAACACUUUUUCUGAUGAAAGCCUAAGCAAAACUGGUUUGUUUCUAAAAAAGAUUUAUGUUCUAACAAAUCAACAUCUUCCAAUUAAAAAGAAAAAAAAAAAGUGUAUUGCUGGAAAAUUCCCAUUUAGCACUACUGAUGAGUAAAAAGUUUUGCUUUACAGAUGGAGUUAAUAAUAGUUUAUAAGCUAAAGUGAAAAGGAUUUUGGGUGAGCUUCCUAAAGAGGAAGUGAGUCACUGUCUCGGCAGGAAAAGUGUUCCAGAUAGGCAGGGCUGGACAAGUUACAAAACACCCCCCAACUGUGUGGAGUCACAGGGAGUGGACAAGGGAUUAUUUCAUCCCAGAUUGCAGAAAAGCAGGAAUUAGUAGGGGGCCUUGACUACCCCCAGCCCAUGUGUCUCUGGGUAUGGUCUUCUCCCAUCUCCCAGGCUCAGAGCAGCUCCACUGAGUCAUCCCGGGGAAGGCUUAAUGGCUGGGGAAGGAGCAGGUGUUGCAGAUGGGUGGGUGAUUCAGUGGAUGGUGUUAUUCCUACUGAGUCAAUGCUAAAGCAGUUUGUAAGCAGGAAGUUGGGGACACUGUGUGGCUACAAGAUCUGCUUUCCAAAUCCAGUGACAUUCACGGAGUCUGCGGUUCCCUCCGUGUGCUUUCCACAGGGUGAGUUGCUUUUAGUUGUUCCUGGGCACAGCAUUUUCAAAACCAAAAACCAGAGAGGAAUUUCUAAGGUGUCUGUCAGUGGAAUUUACAAUCUUGAGAGUCCAGGUCAGUUUUGAUGAUGGUAUUUCUACAUUAGGAAAGCAUUUUUGGAAAACAGAGUCCUAUGUUCUUGUGACUGACUUUGCAACCCUCCCACUGGUUCCUGGAGUGUCUGGGUUGAACCUUUACCUGGAAUUCAUCUCAAUGAGAGCUCUGUAUAUUUUGUAUUUGACAGAGGACCAGGAAUGGUGCUGGCACUCCUCAGGUGUACUUUGUGACCAUGAAAAGCAACUUCUCCAUGGCCACUAUGAACCUUUGAAGUGCCAAUAUUGUCUUACAGAAGAAAGGUGGAGUUGCUGCAUCUCCUCUGACUUGCUUAACUCAUUGAAAAUGUUAGAGAACAUGUCCUGUAAUGUUCCAAACUUCUCAAGUAAUUUAACUUUUCAGAGAAGAAAUUAUAUUUCACUUUCUCCAUGUGUGUACACAAGUCAAAACCGCACACAUUGUACAGCACAGAGGAGAAGAUUUAGAUCUUCAAAGUCACUGCUGUUUCCUCUGUCCUUUUUCCAUUUGGGUGUCUCUCUUCUCUUGCUGGAAGCAUUACAAGUUUGGAAGGCCAGGAAUUAAAAGAUUAAAAAAAAAAAAAAGAAGAAGAAGAGAAGACUACUUUUAUUUUGUACUACAUAUUAGUCUGAUGGACUUGGCAACGUGCUUUCUGAUGUCCUAGUUUGAGCCCUUUGAACCACUGUAAACACUGCUGGAGAGUUGGAAGAAUUAAAAUAAGGCACUGAUUGAAAAAA